GACGAACGCUGGCGGCGUGCUUAACACAUGCAAGUCGAACGGAAAGGCCCUGCUUGCAGGGUACUCGAGUGGCGAACGGGUGAGUAACACGUGGGUGAUCUGCCCUGCACUUCGGGAUAAGCCUGGGAAACUGGGUCUAAUACAGGAUAGGAGCCAUUUUUAGUGUGAUGGUUGGAAAGUUUUUUCGGUGUAGGAUGAGUUCGCGGCCUAUCAGCUUGUUGGUGGGGUAAUGGCCUACCAAGGAGGCGACGGGUAGCCGGCCUGCGAGGGUGGACGGCCACAUUGGGACUGGGAAACGGCCCAGACUCCUACGGGAAGCAACAGGGGGGAAUAUUGCACAAUGGGCGCAAGCCUGAUGCAACGACGCCGCGUGGGGGAUGACGGCCUUCGGGUUGUAAACUCCUUUCGCUAGGGACGAAGCUUUUUGUGACGGUACCUAGAUAAGAAGCACCGGCUAACUACGUG
rnacentral:rRNA from 1 species